rnacentral:rRNA from 1 species
UACGUAGGGUGCGAGCGUUGUCCGGAAUUACUGGGCGUAAAGGGCGCGUAGGCGGUCAGCACAAGUCAGUUGUGAAAUCUCCGGGCUUAACUCGGAAAGGUCAACUGAUACUGUGCGACUAGAGUGCAGAAGGGGCAACUGGAAUUCUCGGUGUAGCGGUGAAAUGCGUAGAUAUCGAGAGGAACACCUGCGGCGAAGGCGGCUCUCUGGGACGUGACUGACGCUGAGACGCGAAAGCGUGGGGAGCAAACAGG